GUAUUCACAUUUGAAGAAAAGGUUUUCGAUAUGGUUGUUGAAGGUUAAUGUUUGCAUCUUUGUUUUGUUUCUGACGCAUCAUAUAUUAUAGAUAGGUUAUUUAGCAAUCUUAAAAAUAUUUUAUUAUAGUUAGAUAUCUAAUUUCUCAAUUUGAGCUUUUCUUUUUGUUAACGUCGUUUGUUUUUUCUAUCAUAGGUUUGAGAUAGAGGUAUUGGCAAUUUUAGGGUCUUUCUAGAGGGCGGUGCUUGAAGAUUAAUGCUAGAGAUAUGGUAUCUACAAAUUGCAUAUAUGUUUGAUGUAUUAUUGCAAUUGAAAGUACCUUAUAAUUUUAAAAUUGCUAUUUUGAUACUUGUGCUUACUUUUCUAUUAACGUGUGUCUGUCAUACUAGAUAUUCAAGAAAUAUAGCGAAAAAGAAGAUGAUGAAGAAUUAGUGACCACCUCUUACGAAGAUAGUAUUGUACUUUUCAAUUCAAGUUUGUAUAUUAUCUUAAUUGAAUGUUUGUAAUUAAUUUUUUUUUUUUUGUAUAUAGAAAAUAGAG
rnacentral:lncRNA from 1 species